UUCUAUUUUCUUUUCUCAUGUAAUCCUUUCUUUCUUUUUGUCUCAGUGUGUAUCCAAAGGAAGCCUUUCUUUCAGUUCGCUAGAUUUAGAAUUUUCUGCAAAUGCUUCGGCUGCUGGUUCGGUGUCGACCGGAUGAAUGAGACCCAUUUUUUUCUGCAGAGGCUCCGGCGACUCUCUCUAACUCCUUCACCACACCAGGGUCCAGACCCAUUACUCUCUCAUCCUCCUUCACCACAUAGAGUGAUGGAUCUUAUCACUGGUUCGGUGUCGGCUGGAUCAGUGGUCGAGUUUUCGAAAUGGGUUUUUGAGAAUUUGCUCUUCUUGUGUUUGAUAAAAGGAGCAGAAAUGGGCACCAGAAAGUUUGGAGUGGAAACAAAGCAGAACCGAAGAAGAGCUUUGAGCGUGAUUAAUCAGAGCUUAGUGGCAGCUCCUUCAUAUCCAUGUGUCGUUAACAAGAGAGUUUUGUCAGAAAAAAAAUGUAAUCUGUGAGAAGAACCCUCCCAAUCCAGUCCAUCGACCAAUUACAAGAGUUCUAGAUGUUUUUGGCUUGCAUGACCACACGAUUAGACCCAAUCAAAUAUGGGUUCUUGAUGAAACCAUUCAUAUUUGUCUCUAUGUAUGUGCGGGUAUAUAUAUAUAUAUAAUUUGUAAAUUUACAGGGUAUUUUAGCCUUUUAAUUU